CAAGCCACCAGCUUCCGUUAUGGGGUCUUUAUCACCAUGUCCUGGGACCUGGGGCUGUUUUCUGGGUAGUUUUUUCUUGUUUCCAAUAAAAUUGAGCGAGCGAGCGAGCGAGAGAGAGAGAGUUCUUAUGAAAAGAGGCCCUUUCCUUCUCGAUCCAAUCAACAAAGUUCUAAUUGUCAUUUCAUGCUACUUGAAAGAUGCAUGAUCCAAGGUACUACCAUCAACCAAAUCCUUAUGGACCAUACCCUGCUCAAGGUUAUUAUCAGGGGCCUCCUGUAAUGGCACCACCUCAGUAUUCUCCUCCUCCUCCAUCUAAAAAGAACGAUGGGUUUUUGGCAGGAUGCCUUGCUGCUCUAUGUUGUUGUUGCAUCAUCGAUGAAUGUUAUGAGUGUUGUUGUGAUCCAAUGAUUUUUUUGGCUAGUUAAUUAUCACUAUAUUUUAGUAGCAUUUGAUGAAUCUUUGAUUCAGAGAGACUGUAUUUUUUUUUUUUUGGGAGAAAUGAAAGGUUUGUAGGUGCAAACUAUCACUUUGUACAUGUUAGUUCAGAUUGAUAUCUACAAGAAUCUUAACAAACAUACUAAU